rnacentral:lncRNA from 1 species
AAAACCCUCCUUAGGGAAAAAAGAGUUCCCCCUUCAAACUGUUUCAUCAGAGACAUUGUAAUAUGACCUUUGUGUUUGUCUUUACUUACAAAGCUCUUAACUAUAGUACAACUUCAGGUGCGUGGCGUUCCAGGUGCGAGGAAUCGCCCCUCCUUCCAGCGUCUCUAAGCGGUAGGCGCCGUUCCCGAGCGCCUCGGUUAUUCUGAACGGUCCAGUCCACUUGGGCGACAGUUUAUUCUCCAUCUCGUACUGGUGGGCCUUCCUCAUCACCAGAUCGCCCUCUCUAAACUGCCUUGGCAUCACCUUCGAGUUGUAUCUUCGUUCGAUCCUCCUCUUCACCGCCUCAGCUUUCAGUCUCACCUCUUCCCUGACCUCGUCCAGUAGAUCCAGGUUCAGCCUUCUCUCUUCAUUCGAGUCUUCCUCUACGAAGUUCUGGAAUCUCGGCGAGCUCUCCUGGAUCUC